rnacentral:rRNA from 1 species
CCUACGGGAGGCAGCAGUGAGGAAUAUUGGUCAAUGGCCGUAAGGCUGAACCAGCCAAGUCGCGUGAAGGAAGAAGGAUCUAUGGUUUGAAAACUUCUUUUAUAGGGGAAUAAAGGUAUCCACGUGUGGAUAUUUGCAUGUACCCUAUGAAUAAGCAUCGGCUAACUCAGUGCCAGCAGCCGCGGUAAUACGGAGGAUGCGAGGGUUAUCCGGAUUUGUUGGGUUUAAAGGGUGCGUAGGGUGUUUUUUAAGUCAGCGGUGAAAGUUUGUGGCUAAAACAUAAAAUUGCCGUUGAAACUGUGAGACUUGAGUGUGUUUGAGGUAGGCGGAAUGCGUGGUGUAGCGGUGAAAUGCAUGGAUAUCACGCAGAACUCCGAUUGCGAAGGCAGCUUACUAAGCCAUAACUGACACUGAAGCACGAAAGCGUGGUGAUCAAACAGGAUUAGAUACCCCAGUAGU